rnacentral:rRNA from 1 species
UAGGGAAUCUUCCACAAUGGACGAAAGUCUGAUGGAGCAACGCCGCGUGAGUGAUGAAGGGUUUCGGCUCGUAAAACUCUGUUGUUGGAGAAGAACAGGUGUGAGAGUAACUGUUCACAUCUUGACGGUAUCCAACCAGAAAGCCACGGCUAACUACGUGCCAGCAGCCGCGGUAAUACGUAGGUGGCAAGCGUUGUCCGGAUUUAUUGGGCGUAAAGCGAGCGCAGGCGGUUUCUUAGGUCUGAUGUGAAAGCCUUCGGCUUAACCGGAGAAGUGCAUCGGAAACCAGGAGACUUGAGUGCAGAAGAGGACAGUGGAACUCCAUGUGUAGCGGUGAAAUGCGUAGAUAUAUGGAAGAACACCAGUGGCGAAGGCGGCUGUCUGGUCUGUAACUGACGCUGAGGCUCGAAAGCAUGGGUAGCGAACAGGAUUAGAUACCCUGGUAGUCCAUGCCGUAAACGAUGAGUGCUAAGUGUUGGAGGGUUUCCGCCCUUCAGUGCUGCAGCUAACGCAUUAAGCACUCCGCCUGGGGGAGUACACCGC